GUGGGGAAUAUUGGACAAUGGGCGAAAGCCUGAUCCAGCCAUGCCGCGUGUGUGAAGAAGGUCUUCGGAUUGUAAAGCACUUUAAGUUGGGAGGAAGGGCAGUAAGUUAAUACCUUGCUGUUUUGACGUUACCGACAGAAUAAGCACCGGCUAACUUCGUGCCAGCAGCCGCGGUAAUACGAAGGGUGCAAGCGUUAAUCGGAAUUACUGUGCGUAAAGCGCGCGUAGGUGGUUUUGUAAGUUGGAGGUGAAAUCCCCGGGCUCAACCUGGGAACUGCCUCCAAAACUGCAUGACUAGAGUACGGUAGAGGGUAGUGGAAUUUCAUGUGUAGCGGUGAAAUGCGUAGAUAUAGGAAGGAACACCAGUGGCGAAGGCGACUACCUGGACUGAUACUGACACUGAGGUGCGAAAGCGUGGGGAGCAAACAGGAUUAGAUACCCUAGUAGUCC
rnacentral:rRNA from 1 species